CCUACGGGUGGCAGCAGUGGGGAAUAUUGCACAAUGGGCGAAAGCCUGAUGCAGCAACGCCGCGUGAGUGAUGAAGGCUUUCGGGUUGUAAAGCUCUUUCCUCAGGGACGAAAAUGACGGUACUUGAGGAGGAAGCCCCGGCCAACUACGUGCAAGCAGCCGCGGUAAUAAGUAGGGGGCUAGCGUUAUUCGGCGUUUAUGGGGGUAAAGGGCGCGUAGUGGGCAAUGCAAGUCGAGAGUGAAAGGCGGGGGGUUAACCCGUGGAAAGCUGUAGAAACUGUUAUUCUUGAGUGCAGGAGAGGAAAGUGGAAUUCCUAGGGUAGCGGUGAAAUGCGUAGAUAUUAGGAGGAACACCAGUGGCGAAGGCGGUUUACUGGACUGUAACUGACGCUGAGGCGCGAAAGCGUGGGGAGCAAACAGGAUUAGAUACCCCGGUAGUC
rnacentral:rRNA from 1 species